AGAGGGAGGAGUUAAGGAGACAGACAGAGAGAGAGAGAGAUCUGAGGAGAAGAGGGAGAACCAAAAUGGAGGCUGACGUGGUGUUAUCAAAGGAUAUGUGCAAGAUGAGAGCCAGCCAUCGUCUCCUGAUAGUGGAGAUUUGAUCUGAAGCAUUCAAAUAGGAAAUGAAUGCUCAGAGGAAGCUUCAAAUUUCUUUCUACUUGAAGAAGCUGAAUUGCAGAAGCUAUCUCUGUCCUGUUAAUCACCGGGUCCACAGUGAAACCAGCCAACUUCAGAGAAGACUCUUGUGCUGCGUGACCCCUGACUGUAACCAAGUGUCCUUCUCUCUGAGACGUUCCCUCGGAGCUUGUUCUCACAGCCCUCACCUCCAGUGACCUCCACGAACUUUUCCACACGAGGGGUUCUCUGCUUCCCUCCAUCUGAGCUGCGCAAUUCCACCAGGCCUUUUGCUCCUCUUCAGUCAGGUGCUUUGGAGGUAAUGAAGUCUUUCGGGGGAAAAAUAAACAAAGGAAAUGCACCCGGUUGAUGUCAAUGGACUUGUUUAACUAUUUAAGGCCACUGUCUCCAAGUGUAAGUGUGCUGCGGUGUGUUUUGUAAAGUAGCGCUUAUAAUCCACUGAGCUUUCCAAACAGCCCUCUUGCCUAUUAAGCCUGCAUUGAGAAGUGGGUUUAAUUUGCCAGAGUAGUUUUUUGUGAUAAUUACAGGACUUGCAGAUUAGCUUGAGUGACUUGGCAAGGUUCUGUAGCUAAUAAAAAAUCACACAGGAAAAAAAUUGUAACAUUCAAUUGCUUCAAGGUUCUUCACGAGAGAAACAUUAAACAAACCUGAUAGGCCAGUUUCCAGUCUGUGAAGGGACUUGGAGGCAAGCCGGGAGAGAGGGAGGAGAAAGAGAUCGCCAUGAUGGGGAAGAAGGAAGAGGAGACCUAAAGGCCAGCUGACAUCAGGACUUUGGGUCCCUAACCUGCAACUCAGCACUCAGUCCAUCAUGGGCUUUGCUAGUCUCUGUGACUUCUCCAGGGCAGGAAAGUGACAGGUUUCUGCGCAAGGGAGCCCGAGGUACCUGGUUCAGGAUGGAGAGGGCACUUGAGAGGCGUCAAAAGCAAGCACAGUUAGAGGACAUCAGCGAUGUUAAAACCCCACGAGGGUCAACAGUAGCCCAGGCAAAAUAAAGGAGCCUGAAGUGGAAAAACAGAAAUGGAACAAGACGUUUGUUCUGGAGCACGUGAGAUUGUCCUUCUAAGACAUUUCCAGAAGUAUUCAAAGGAAGAUUUAAUGGGAAAUCAUUAUGCAAAAGAGUCAGUAAUAUAUUUUAGUUUCAAAAAGUACGGAGCGUGACGCCUGUCAAUUAUACCUUCUGCAAAGGUGAGUGGCGGUUGUCCUUGCUGUUCCAAAAUGCAAAGAGAAACAAACAAACAAACAAACAAGCAAACCAGCUACUCCUAUUCCGCACUCCAAACACCAAGCAGAAAUGCUUCUGGGACAAACUGAGCUUCAUUCUUUAUGAAAAUGAAAACACUUCUUUCUGUGCACUAGGAAAAUGUUCUGCCUCUGAGCUGCAAAACCAGCACCAAACUUGAAAAGUUUGUGCAUCAAAGGAAAAAGGCAACCUACAGGAUGGGGGAGAAUAUUUGCAGGACACAUGUCCUGGAAGGAAUACAUAUUUAGACUGAAUAAAAUGAGUAAGAGGAGGGAUAGGGAGUUCGUGUUCAAUGUUGAGAGCUUGGGACAGUUGAGAAAACGCUCCGGAGUGUUCUGCAGAUGAAUGAUGGUGACGACUGCAUCAGUGUGAAUGUCCUUAACGCCGUCAAAAAUUGGUUAUAAUGGCAAAUUUUAUGCUACAUAUGUUUUACUACAAUAAAAAUGCCAGGAAAAUCUAACUGCUCCAAAUCCUGAAUUUAUUAACCCAAUAAAUUAGGAGAUGGUUAUUGACCUAUAAAUGGAUUUGUCAAUUUUUAAAAUGAUUUCCUUUAAAUUGAAUUCUUUCCUAGAGCUUUAUUGUCUCUUCACAAACCAUUAAACACUUGUUAAAGUGUUCAGAGAGGGCUGAGAUGGAGGAGGAAGUGAAAACCAAACAAACAGAUGAGGGACCUUCCCCAAAUGAUGUCUGCUAACAGGCUUCUUGGGUAUUCUAUUUAUAUAGAUUUUACAAGUGUUUUAUUUGAGAGGAAAAAUCCCUAGACCUUACAUAGUACAAUGAACUUCUUAUGCCUGUCAGCUAGAUUUAUUAAUUUUUAACGAGGUGUAUUACUUUUAAAAGCUAUCUAUUUACUAUUGGGGGAGGGAGAAGGACAAAGGACAUCUUGCAGAAGUCUGGUCUCUCCUGCUAUGUGGGUUCUGGAGAUAGGAAAUCAGGCAGGUUGUCAGGCCUAGAAGCAAAGGCCUGUCUGCACUGAGCCAUCUUACUUGUCUUAUUUUGUUACUUUUGAUGACCUAUUUUAGACAUCACUAUUCUAUAGCCCUAAGUAUAACUUCAAGUAUGUAUCUUCCACAAUGACUUUAUGACCAUGAAAUCAAUUCAAGAAAUUUAACAUGUAUGCAGUUCUAUCCAGCGUACAUACAGAUUUCUCAUCCCCCCUUUUACUGUAGUUUAUAGAAAAAGCAAUUCUCUUCCAUAUCUAGAGUUUGACAAGGAAUAUGCAUUGCAUUUGGUUUCUGUGUUCUUUAAUCUCUUGUUGUACAGAACUUCAACCUUUCAUGACAGGUUGAACAAUUUUGGAUCAUACAGGCUGUCAUGGUUUGAAUAUGUUUGGCCCAGGGAGUGGUACUGUUAGGGGUGUGGUCUUCUUGGAAUAGGUGUGUCACCGUGGGCGUGGGCUUUAAGACCCUCAUCCUUAGCUUCUGGAAGUCAGUCUUCCACUAGCAACCUUCAGAUGAAGAUGUAGAACUCUCACCAUCUCCUGCACUAUACCUGCCUGGAUAUCGCCAUGUUCCUGCCUUGAUGAUUAUGGACUGAACCUCUGAACCUGUAAGCCAGCCCCAAUUAAAUUUGUCCUUAUAAGAGUUACCUUGGUCAUGGUGUCUGUUCACAGCAGUAAAACCCUAACUAAGACACAGGCCAAUUACAGAAUGUCUCUUUUUGGUGUGUGCAGUGUUAAAGUUUGAAGCACAAGCCUAAUGCUUGUUAGACAAGCACUCUACCGCUGCUCUACAUCAGCAGCUCAGUGUGCCUCUUGUCUUGAUGGGCUCAUUGUUUUUUAUGACCCAGUGCAUUGGGGUGAGCAGCUCACACAGGUACGAAGGGGUCCCUCUCAGAGCUUAACAUCAGGGAACUCAAUGUUGGUUUGUCUGUUCUAUUUCAGCUGAGCUAGUAUCUGGCAGUUCCCCACAACCCCCAUCAAGUUACCACUUUUUUCUUUGUAAUUGUAAUUUGCAAAGAAAUAUUUGCAAGAUUAAGUAAUAGACUACACAACGUGUUUUAGCUUCCACUGAGCAUUCAGCCUGAACUGUUUUAUAAAGUUAUGAAAUGAUAGAUUUCCAACUUAAUAAUUAUUUUAAAGACUUAUUUUAUUUUUAGUUCUGCAUGUAUGCCUGUGUGUGCACGUGUGUACCUAUGUAUCUGUAUGGUUAUGUGCACAUGAAUGCAGAUGUCCAAGGAGAAGAGGCCAGACACAUUGGAUCCCUGGUGCUCAAGUGGGAGGUGGCUGUCAGCUGCUGUAGGAAGGUGAUGGGAACUCAGCUUGAGUCCUUUGCAAGAACAGCAUGAGCUCUUAAACACAGAGCCACAUCUUCAGUCCCUCUCUUAUUUUUUUAAAAAUUAUUCUCUCUCUGUGUAUGUGUGUGUAUACAGAGGUCAGAGGAUCAUUUUUGUAAAAUUAGUUCUCUCUACCUUUUUUUGUGGGCUCUGGGGACUAAACUCAAGUUGUUGGGAUUUUGUGACAAGUGCUGUAUCCACUGAGCCCUCUCACAUGCCCUUAAAUGUUAUUUUAAAUAAUAGCAAAUGAGUACGUUCAAGCAUACGAGAAUAAGCAUGUCCUAUUGAUUUGAAUAUGCAAAAGUAUGCCAAUUUUUUAAAUCUCUAUUACCAAGUGGACAAGUAUUCCAUUUUAUCUCCAAAAGUAAAGAUUUCUUUUAGAUACAGUCAUGUGGAUUAUACAACUUGACUGAAGCCAUGUCUCCAAGAUACAUACCUAGAGGGUAAAGGGAAUGCUUUAAAGGAGCGUGAUUAUGAAUAUCCAAGCUGAAAAUAAACACUAAUUACUAACAAAAAGGAUUACUGAGAAAAAUAUGGGUUGGUUUUCAGUACUUGACUCUGUAAAGUUAUUUCUUUUCUUAUUUAGUUUUUAUUCAUAAUCAUAAACUUAACUUUGCCAUCCAGCUAGACUUGAAGGGGAAUGAGGAAAAUAUGGAACCCAAAGAACUUGAGCAGAGAUUACAGGGUAUUUCAAGCAGAUGGGGUAGGGAUGCUCUCCUGCGCUACAGAAGGAAUGGUUGGAUGGGUAAAAUGCCUGCAAGUCAAAAGAAAUUAGAGUUAUCCACAGUCGGAAAUGGUCUUGCUGGUCUUUCCAUUCCUGGACCCAAAACACUCCAUGGCUUCCACAAUGUUCAUGCCUUCUUUCACCUUCCCAGACACCACAUGCUUGCCAUCCAGCCACUUAGUCUUGGCAGUGCAGAUAAAAAACUGGGAACCGUUUGUGUUGGUCCAGUAUUUGCCAUGGACAAGAUGCCAGGACCUGUAUGCUUCAGGAUGAAGAUCUCAUCCUCAAAUUUCUCUCCAUAGAUGGAUCUGCCGCCAGUGCCAUUAUGGCAUGUAAAGUCACCACCCUGGCACAUGAAUCCUGGAAUAAUUCUGUGAAAGGAGGAACCCUUCUAGUAAAAUCCUUUCUCUCCAGUGCUCAGAGCAUGAAAGUUUCCCGCUGUCUUUGGAACUUUGUCUGCAAACAGCUGGAAGGAGACUCUUCAAGGGCUCGUCAUCGGCCGUGAUGUCAGAGAACACGGUGGGGUCGACUGUGGCUACAGCAAGAGGACCAACGGUACUGUUGCUCUAGCUACAGGAAUAAUCCUGGGCAGCACUUGUUGACCUUGGUCACUGUCAAGGGAAGAUCGGCUGUUCCCACUGAGGGCAUCUUGAUGGAUUAAGGUGAUCAGCUGAUCAAUGUGAGGGGACAGAUGGGAGCUAGGAACUGUCUCGGUACUGAGUCAUUUUUCAUCUAAUGUGCAAGAAACCCAAAGAGCACAUCAAACAGCGAACUACGCCUAAGCUAUCCAUGUUUCUCCUGCUUCUUCUGAGAGGGUGAUUUACACGUAGCUCAACACUCGAGUGUUGCAGUAUCGAGUGACUGCAACCAAACAAUGGAACAUGCAUCGUGCCUGUUGACAGAGCCUGCAGUUGGCUUGGAACCGGGACCAUGCUGCAUUCGACAUCGUUCCUGGUGGCUGACUUGUUCCCAUAGAAUUAAAUGCUAGGCAUCCAGAAGCUGACUGUGCAUCUGAUGGGCUCACUAACAUUCAGGAACAGGUUGGCCUCAGACUUCAUCAAUGGAAAG
rnacentral:lncRNA from 1 species